GCAUGGCCAGCUCCCUAGUGUUGCCGACCAUGGCUGCCUAGCAGCAGCAUCUCCCUCCCUGUCCGUGGAUGCAGCAGCACCUCCCUCCCUCUCUGCUCGUGCGCAGGAAACCCCUCACGCACAGGGAAGAACAACAGCCCACCCUCCAAAACACCAAGCAGCGGCAGCAACCUCCAUGGUGCCCCUGCUUCCAUCCCAUAGCUGAGCGCCCUUGCUGUUCUCUUCAAUGCCCCUUGGCUGUUCGACAGAAUACCCGUGAGAAAUAAUGUGUUGUGCGCAGCCCCGUCCGUGAUGCCGCCGACCCUCGCUAGUGGUCGACGCCGCGCUUCGCGCUUGGCCCGUUCGACGAAACGCCAAGCCUUGUGGACAGCCCGUGUGACUAGCCUCGAUUCGUCCAGGUUGUUCACUUGGUAUUUUGUGGAUUGAUCUAUUUAAGCUUUGGUCGAUGUUGUGCAUGUGUGUAUAUGUGUAAGAAAAUGUAUUGGUACGGAUUGAAGUUCGUGGCGAAAGAAAAAGAAGUAGAAAAGAACUCGGAUGUUUUUAUAUUUCGAUAGGAAUUUAUGCGAUGUGUUGUUUGAUGUGUGCGCUUUGUAGUUUGUAUAAUUAUAUUUUUGUCGAUAUGA